rnacentral:rRNA from 1 species
UACGUAGGGGGCAAGCGUUGUCCGGAUUUAUUGGGCGUAAAGAGCGUGUAGGCGGCCAAGCAGGUCAGCUGUGAAAACUCGAGGCUCAACCUCGAGAUGUCGGCGGAAACCGUCUGGCUAGAGUCCGGAAGAGGAGAGUGGAAUUCCUGGUGUAGCGGUGAAAUGCGCAGAUAUCAGGAAGAACACCUAUGGCGAAGGCAGCUCUCUGGGACGGUACUGACGCUGAGACGCGAAAGCGUGGGGAGCGAACAGG